rnacentral:misc_RNA from 1 species
AUGGUGUGUGAUACUCUCUUAGCCACGCAGCAACUGCGGCAUAUUCCCCGUGCUGUGAAUCCGCAGCAAGCCAUAUGAUAUCUUUAGCUAGCCACGUCACUCGAGUGAGCAGGGAGAAAAUUGAGUAUGCAAUACCUAGUGAUAAAGCCUCGCCCAUGCUGGUCUUAACGGAAUUAUAAGGGGUCACCAAUACAAUAGCCUCCUUCCCAUCACCACGUGGAGCUCUUAUAAAUCCAACUGUAUUGAUACCAUAUGAUGAACAAGUAUAAUUCUCCUGAGCUAUUCCUUGAUCAGGACUGGAGAAAAAAUGCAGGGGGUUAAACUUAUUCACUUGAGGUAGGAACCUGUGGAAAUUAACUUCACCGCCCAAAUCCGUUAUAUGCUGUGCUACCAAAUCUUGGAUGCCUAUGCUUGAGCUAUCAGUAUUGAAAUCAAAGCUAACGACCUUGUUCACAAACAUUCUAGCCCGUGAAACAUCAUCAUUCGACAGCAUGGGACUAGCAGAACCAGGCAUGAGGGCA